AGCUGAGUCCCAGGCCACAGCCCCUCAUCAUCCUCAAAUUGUUUUGCCUGGCUGAAGAUCAUCCUUGAACUGAAGUAAUGAAUGCCUCUUGCUUCCUUGGACGAAGGGUGGAGGGCUAUGUGUGUGUUGAGAAACCUCUGGAAUGCAGCCUACUCUUCAAAGGGGAGAGUUAAAACGAAAACACCGAUCGUCUACUUUUUAGAAACAUCUUCGACGUGACUUGAACAGACCACCAAAAUGCAAAAUGGAGAUGGCUGGUUCUGAGCACUGGAAGAUGACCCAGAGAGGAGGAGGAGGAGGAAACGAACCUGUGAGAUGCUGAGAAGAAGGAAGACUGUAGGUUCAGUACAAAAGAAAUCGGACAAUGCAACGGAAAAGCUCAGCAAAGUUUAAAUGCACCUGGGUAAGAACAGCUGGCGACUGAUAUCUUUCUCAUGCUGUGAAAUUCCGCUAAGCAUUGCUAAGUACCAACUACUCAGAACUUUCCAUUAGAAGCCUAAGCAUAUAGGAUGUAAAACACCAGUGGAAGAUAGUUUAAACAAACACAAAGUUAAGAAACUGGUCCGGCCAUGUAGGUCAAAUAAAGAUAUUUUUUUU